AGGCAACGCCGUACUGCGGAUACGGGCCCUGCAACAUUUGGGGAUGUAACUGCGAUGGGGGCUGCAGGCGAGGGAGACCGAUUAUAGGUGGUCGUAAUGGUGAUAGCAAGACCAAGAAGGGAUCGGUGGCAGACCCUGAGGAAGUCCGCAGCCUUCUGGAGUUGCUGGAAGGAGAGAACACCAUUCCCGGCUACGACGAAGAACUUGAGCAGGUGGUUGAAAAGUCCCGCGGCCUCCUUGAGCUGCUGCGCGGGGAACACGAGAAUUUCGCCCGGGAGCAUGACAACAUCGGCGGGGAGGAUGGUUACAACAUCGACCUUGAGGAGUUCGACAAGGACAUGGCCAAAGGACCCUGAACGUGCGAUGGUCUCACCGCAUCCUGCGUGUGCC